GGGAGUGUGUGUAUGUGUGUGUGAGAGUGUGUGCGCGCGGGCGAGUGUGCGCAAGGACGCAGCGUUCAGCCCCAGCUCCCCAAACAGCUCCCGGCUCCGCUCCUCUCUCCUUUGCUCCCCUUCCAAAGUAAAGCUUCCUGCCGAGAACAGUCCCUCCCUUGUGCCUGCCAUGCCAUUAGAGACUGGCCACGUCGAAUCGCUUUUUUGAGGCAGAGAACAGGGACUUUUCUUUGGCGGGGCAGAAGGAGCUGGGCUGGUAGAGACUCCUGCCUUUAGCUCCCGAAAUACGUGGGCAACCCUUAUUCUCCUCUUCUUCCUCUGCUGUUUCCUCUCUCCAAUGAGAAGCUGCUCCCUGAGGACGAGAGGAAAGGGGCUGAAAGAUGGAGCAGAUGUGGACGAGGGAUUAUUUUUUGGAGGAUGAUGGAGAAAUGGUGCCCAAAACAAGUCAUGUAGCAGCUUUUCUCAGUGAAACUAAAGAACGGGGUCCCCCUAUGCAAUCACACCCCUGGAGAAGUUUUGAGAAGGGUUCCUUUGGGCAGACACAUUCCUUAAGAGCAUUUGAGAAGGCCCCUUUGGGACAAACACAAGCCCUCAGAGACUUUGAAAAGCACCUCAAUGACCUGAAGAAGGAGAACUUCAGUCUCAAGCUGCGCAUCUACUUCCUGGAGGAGCGCAUGCAACAGAAGUAUGAGGCCAGUCAGGAAGAUGUCUACAAAAGGAACAUCGAGCUGAAGGUGGAAGUAGAGAGCCUGAAGAGGGAAAUCCAGGAAAAGCAGCAAGACCUCGAUAAAACAUGGGCAGCGGCAGAGAAUCAGAACAGCCAUAAUGAAACCGAGCUCCGGCGCCAUUAUGAAGAGAGGCAGCUAGAAACCGAGCAUGUGUAUGAGCUGCUGGAGAACAAGAUACAGCUUUUGCAGGAGGAAACCAAACUUGCAAAGAAUGAGGCUGAGCGGAUGGCAGCACUGGUGGAGGCCGAGAAAGAAUGCAACCUGGAGUUAACUGAGAAACUGAAGGAGGUCACCAAGGAUGGGGAAGACGCGGCGGGAAGUAAGGGUCAGGACAACAACCACUGCACAGCCCUGGCCCAGAGAGACAAAAGGAUCGAUGAGCUGAGUGAACGCCUGGCUGCCCAGGAGAAGCUUGUUGAACAGCUAUCCAGAGAGAAGCAAGAACUUUUGCAACAUUUGGAAGAACACAAGGGCAUGGACAUCCAGAAUAUUACUGAAGAGCCAGUCCAACAACAGGAACUGAAUUCAAAUGAGGCCACCAUGACCCAGCAAUGUGUGCCUGAUUCUCACUUGGCAGAACUUCAAGACAAAAUUGAGCAAACAGAAGCUGCCAACAAGAUUCUACAAGAGAAACUGAAUGAAAUGAGCUGUCAACUAAAAUCUGCCCAGGAAGCAUCACAGAGGCAGGAUUGUACAAUUCAGAACCUCAGUCAAUCCUUGAAAAGCAGGGAGAGUGAGACUGAAGAGCUGUACCAAGUGAUCGAAGGUCAGAAGGACACAAUGACCAAGCUACGGGACUUGCUGCACCAAAGCCAGCUUGGACAACUUCAGCCCCCAGAAGGCGGGUCCCCAGCCCAGCAGCAGGUAGCCCUGCUUGAUCUCCAGAACGCCUUAUUCUGCAGCCAGCUGGAGGUACAGAAGUUUCAGAGGGCAUCCCGGAGGAAGGAACGGCUCCUGGAGGAUGCCAAGCGGAACCUUCAGUUCAUGGAGGCUGCGGCUCAGGGCCUGGAGCAGCAGAUGGAAGCAGCACGGACCCACAAUCAGGAAUUGCGAAGUACCCUGCAGCAGCUCCGGGAAGAUUUGCGCAGUAGGAACAAGCAGCUUCGCAUGCUGGAGGGCACGAGGUGCCGUGAGACCCAAGCCCAAGAGCAGAACAUUCAGCGUCUGAACUGCAGCCUGCGUCAGAAAGAUCAGCUUCUGCAGGAAUAUCGAGAACUCAUGCAAUAUCAGAACAACUCGGAGAAAAGCCUUGAGGCAAAUGAAAUGAUGCUUGAGAAACUUCGACAUCGCAUCCAAGAUAGAGAUGUUGCUUUAGAGCGGGCCAUUGAUGAGAAGUUUUGUGCCUUAGAAGAAAAGGAGAAAGAACUACAGCAACUUCACCUUGCUGUGAGAGAGCGAGAUCAUGAUUUAGAGAGACUCCGCUGUGUCCUGUCCUCCAAUGAAGCCACCAUUCAGAGUAUGGAGAGUCUUCUGCAGGCUAAAAGUUUAGAACUGGAGCAGUUAUCAGCUACCUGCCAGAACCUUCAGUGGUUGGAAGAAGAAAUGAAGAAGAAGUUCAGCCACUGGCAGAAGGAGCAAGAGGGCAUCACCCAGCAGCUGCAAACAUCUCUGCACGAUAGAAACAAGGAAGUGGAGGAUCUUAGUGCAACAUUACUCUGCAAGCUAGGACCAGGGCAGAGUGAAGUUGCUGAAGAGUUGUGUCUGCGCCUGCAGCGGAAAGAAAGGGUGCUGCAGGACCUUCUGGGGGACCGAAAUCAGCAAGCUCUGGAGCAUGAGAUGGAGGUUCAGGACCUGCUCCAGUCUGUGAGCAUCAGGGAGAAGGAGAGCCAGCUUGCUUUGGGGAAGAUGGUACAAGCCCUGAUGGAAAGGAGCGCUGAGGUGCAGACCUUGCGCCAGCACAUCGCAGGAAAGAACCUGGAAUCGAUGCAUGAAAACAUCAAAGAUGAACUUACUUCAGUGACUGCUAAAGAUGAUGCCAACCCAUCCAGGCCUCAGUCAGGAAACACAGAAGCCUCUGCAGAGCUGGAGAAGGAACUAGUUCACGCCAAAGAGGAACUUGAACUCAUAACGAAAAAAGAAAGAGAAAGUCGGAUGGAGCUUUCUGCUCUCCAGUCCAUGGUCGCUGUGCAGGCAGAAGAGCUGCAGGUUCAAGCUGCUGACAUGGAGUCCCUGACAAGGAACAUGCAAAUCAAGGAAGACCUCAUAAAGGACCUUCAGAUGCAGCUUGUGGACCCUGAAGACAUCCCAGCUGUCCAGCGCCUGACCCAAGAAGUCUUGAUCCUUCGGGAAAAAGUAGCCUCAGCAGAAUGCCAGGGUCAAGAAACAAGCGAAAACCGCAGGCAUCAGCUGCUGCAGGUGAUGGAGGGCCUGGUGGAGGAGCGGGGCCGGCUCAAUGAAGCCCUGCAAGCAGAGAGACGGCUCUACAGCAGCCUGGUGGAGUUCCACACGCAUCCUGGCAGCAGCUCUGAGCGAGAUCAAGCCCUCCAGGUGGAGUUGGAAGGAGCCCAGGUGCUACGCAGCCGGCUAGAGGAGGCUCUCGGAAGAAGCCUGGAGCACCUAAGCAGGCUGGAGACCCUGGCUGCCUUUGGAGGCACAGCUGGAGGUGAGGACACCGAGGAUGCUAGCACUGAGUUUACUGACAGUAUUGAAGAGGAAGCCUCACACAGCAACGUGCACCAGCAAUACGUCAAAGAGGCUUCAGAGAAAAGCCUGGGGACCGAGGAAACCCAACAUUCUAACCGAAAUCCUCCUCCCCCAACACAAGGAGACAAAAACAGCGGCCUUGAGGAGGAAGUACUCUGCCUGAAGGCAGAGAUCCAUCAGCACCUGGAACAGAAGAGAAAAGCUGAAGGGGAGCUGAAGGAUCUGAAAGCCCAGAUCGAGGAAGCAGGAUUCUCCUCUGUUUCCCAUAUCAGGAACACCUUGCUGAGUCUGUGCUUGGAGAACGCUGAGCUGAAGGAGCAGAUGGGAGAAGCAAUGUCUGAAGCAUGGGAAAUGGAAGAAGAGAAGGAGAAGGAAGAAGGGCUAGCAGAGGAUGCCAGAUGGGCUUUGAAAGAAGACAGCCUAUGCGCUGAGGUCAGAAAGCUGCACGGGAAGCUACGGAAUGCCAAUACCAAAAUCAACCCCCUCAAAGAGCAGCUGGCAUUGAACAGCAAAGAAGGGGACAGUAAGCUGAAUCCGCAGCUUAUUGUCCACCUGGCCAAGGAGAUCGACCAUCUGAAGACGGGAGUUGUCUGGACUCCUGAGAAGCCUUCGGCUCUAAGAGACCAGCCUCAAGAAGACAAGGUGUCCAAAAGGCUGUAUUCCAGACCCCACACCCUUGACCUUGUGUCUGUCCUUGACUUACACCCCAAGGAUGGCCACCAGGUGGACAGACAAGACCAGCUCAGUAGCAACGGACCACCGGCAGAAUCUGGUCUGCAGGGGCCAACUCACCAGCUUCGCUCUCAACUGGAACAGUGUAGACAGCGCUACCAAGAUCUCCAGGAGAAACUGCUCGUGUCCGAAGCUACGGUCCAGGUCCAGGCCAGCCAGCUAGAGCAAUACCGAGUCUUAUUUCGUGAGCCAGGGGUGAAACAGGACAGCAAGCAGGUCCAGGUGGAUCUCCAGGACCUGGGAUACGAGACAUGCGGUCGAAGUGAGAAUGAGGCUGAACGAGAAGAAACCACCAGCCCUGAAUGUGAAGAACAUGACGUCUUCAGCGACGCCAGACUAACUGAGGGCUUACACUCCCAGUACAAUUUUCUGGUGUCACCACUGACCAGCUCCCCUCUAAAGAAGCCCCCUGGGAAACAGAAGGAUUUCGUAGACUACGGAAAAUCUGAGGACAUUGCUGUCCUCCAGCAGCACAUCAGAGACCUGAAAGCAAGGCUGCAAAACUCAGACAAGGUCAUCCAGAAUCUCAAAUGCCGAGUACGCUCUUUCUCUGUCACCAGCGACUACGCCUCUAGCCUGGAGAGGCCCAGAAAAAUGAAGCUGAAGAGUGGUGAUCCCACGUCUUCCCCAUCCCACAGCCUCACCGAUGAGGAUGAGGGGUGGCAAUCCGAUGGCAUGGGGGUCUUCUACCCACCUGAGAUGCAGGCUAGAAAAGAUCUGGAGAAACUCAUCCAGAGAGUGUCCCUGUUGGAGGCCCAACUUCCAAAAUCCCAGGCGGAAGGCAAGCUGGCAGAGGAGCUAAGAUCAGCCACCUGGCCAGGGAAAUAUGACUCCUUGAUCCAGGCUCAGGCCCGAGAGCUGUCUCACCUGCGCCAGAAGAUACGGGAAGGGAGAGGUGUGUGCCAUAUCCUCACCCAUCACCUCAGGGACAUUGUCAAGUCUUUUGAGGACCUCCUCCGAGGCACGGACAUUGAUUACUUCCUGGGACAGAGCUUCCGGGAGCAGCUGGCUCAGGGGAGCCAGUUAGCAGAAAGACUCACCAACAAACUCAACACCAAGGAUCGAGGAAAGGUGGAUCAUCAUUCAAGCCAUGAGCUAUUGGCCCUCAGGCUCAGCAAGGAACUACAAGAAAAGGAGAAAGUGAUUGAGGCCUUGCAGGCCAAACUCAACGCUAGAUCCCUGACUCCCUCCAGCAGCCACGCCCUCUCUGACUCCCACCGCUCUCCGAGCAGCACUUCCUUCCUGUCUGAUGAGAUGGAAGGCAGCUCAGACAUGGAUGUGGCCAGCGAGUAUACCCAGUAUGAAGAAGACCGUGAAGACAAAGCUCCAUCCAACCUCCCUGACUCCAUCCAUCAUUCAAGUAACAAUGCAGCUCCUCCAUCUAACCCAUCCUCUGCCACCACAUCCCAUGGGGUUAAGAAGGAAUCCAGCAGCAUCCCCGCAACCAUGCCAUCUCCUCAGAAACCCCCCAAGGAGGCCAGCCAAGCGCAUGCAGGCCUUUAUUUUAACUCCAUCCCCAAGCUGGUUGGCAUUCGCCAGCCUCCACUUUCCUCGACCCCCUCCAUCUUUCUGCCUUUUGGCCCCCCUCCCCCUGCUGCUCCUCCCCUCCUUGGCUGCUGUGGGACAUCGGUGCUCUCCUUGGCGGAGGCUCAACAGGAGUUGCAGAUGCUACAGAAGCAGCUGGGAGAAAGUAUCAGUCCCACCACUCCUGUCAUGCCAGCCCCGUUGCCUAGCAACCUUGCUGAAGUCAGCUCUCCCCACUGCCUGCACACCCCCAACCGUACUUCCCAGCCGCAUCCUCUGGGGGUAUCUUCAGAACUCUGCAGGUCAGCCGACUCAGCACUCCUCAGCAACAGUGGCCUUUGGGAAACGAUUAGACCUCAGAAGGGAACCACUUUGGGCGACCUGUCCUCAAACUCAGCAGUGUGCCAACCUCGAUCUAAACUCACAGGGGCCGAUUUGCUGGAGGAACAUCUCAGUGAGAUCCGAAACCUCCGCCAACGUCUUGAGGAAUCCAUCUGCAUUAAUGACCGCCUCCGAGAACAGCUAGAGGACAGGCUCUCCUCUGCCACAAGGACCGGUGGCUCCUCCCCUAGUAUCUACAUGCCAGGUCUGGAGUCCAUGCCCCAGCUGUGCAAUGAGAACAGAAUCCUCCGAGAAGAAAACCAAAACCUCCAGGCUCAGCUGAGCCACCUCUCCAAAGAGCAUUCAAGGGAGCUGGAGCGUCUGAGGGAGGCUCUGCUGGCCUCCCGUGCCAGGCUUCAAGAGCUGGAGGCUGAGCUGGAGAGGCAGAAGGCCGAGCGGCGGCAGUCGGCCGAGGACCUGAAGGAAAGGCAGCAGGAGAUCCUGCAGCUCCGAGAGGAGCGGCUCUCCCUCCAGGAGAAGAACAACAGGCUACAGCACAAAAUGGUCCUCCUACAGCAGCAGUGUGAGGAGAACCAGAGACUCUUCCAGUCCCUCCAGUCUGAGCUGCAGGUCUAUGAAACACUCUACGGGAGCUCAAAGCAGGUGCUGAAGGCUUACAGCUGGGACAUCUAUCGCCAAGGGCCCCUGAGCAAUGACUUGAGCACCCUGGUGUCAGAGGUUCGGGCUCUUCGAAGUCAGUUAGAAUACAGCAUCCAAGUGAACAAUUCCCUGCGGCAACAGCUGGAGCAGCAGCUGGAGGGCAGUCCUGGGAAAGGCAGCCUUGGCUCUUCCUGCAUGACCCAGGGUUUCCCAGCCACCAGCCCUGGGAACAAGUGGCGAGAUCCAAUUUCUUCUCCUCCAGUUCGGGAUGUUGGUAUGAAUGUUCCAACUUCAGUCUUCUCCACAGCCACAUCCAGUGCUCUGGACCCAGAGACCUCCCCCUUCCAGAAAACAAAAGAAUUGGGUUUGGAUGUGUCUCCUGGAAGGAAGACCCCUCCCAUGCUGGAGGGGGAUGCUCCCGAUGGUUCAUUCGCCAACAAGCAUGGUCGCCAUAUGAUUGGCCAUAUCGAUGACUAUAGCGCCCUGAAGCAGCAGAUUCUGGAAGGAAAAGUCCUGGUGCAUAAGAUGGUCUCUCUCAUGCAGGUUACUCUCAAAUCACCUGCCCUGGAAGCCCAAGGCACCGAGGUUCUUACUUCUGGAAGCAUCCACCAGCUCCGGGGCAGCACCAGUGCCCUGCACCAGAUCUUGGAGGAGUCUGUCUCUCUCCUCACCAUGUUCUGGAGAGCAGCCCUGCCCAGUGCCCACAGCCCUAUCCAGCAGAGGAAAGUGGAGGAGUCAAUGAAAGGAGAAAUUCUAGAGCUGAAAACCAAAUUGUCUGAGCAAGAGAAUCUCCUUCAGAGUACAAAUAAACAACUAAAGACAACCAAGCAGCUGAAGGAGAGCAUGGAGCAGUUCAUUAUUAACCAAUUAACUAGGACACAUGAUGUUUUGAAGAAGGCAAGGACAAAUCUUGAGCUUGAUAUCCGAAGAAAUGCAAUUCAGUUCCAGCCUGGAGGAACAGGGGAUGUAAGCAAUCACGGCUGUGUGGCAACCACAGGGAGAAGAGAGGGAGGGAGCUAAAGAAACAUCCGGGACCCUCAUGACUCUUCUCUUUGGGAAGAGUGGCUGAUGUUUGUCAAGCCUGGUGGGUAGGAUUUGGGGGGUUGCAUGGGUAGAGAUUAGGCUGGCUAGCCAUAGUGAAUAAAACUCAAGAAAAAGGAGAUGCAGAAAGGCUGGGAUCUCUGACCCGUCUGUCCUAUAAUACCUGCACUGGCAAAUAGUUUUCACAUCAGGAUUUUUCCAUUCCUUCUAACUUUAUUUCUGAUUAGUAAAAGGUUGAGAUGACUGCAACAGAGAAAAGCAGCAGGCACAAGAUAGCAUUACUUGGGUCCCUUACAUCUCUAACCUUUCCCUUUAAGGACGAACAGAGAGUUUUUCUAUAAAUUUCUUUACCAAAAAAUUCCAAAUGGGAUCUCUUCCAAAGAGAUUAGGAUAGUACAUGAAAUCUAAAAUAGGGAGUGGUUUAAGGAAAAGAAUUCUAAGCACACGCAUACUGUUGAAGCAAAAGGCAUGAAGGUGUGAGGAUUAACCGGGAGAAGACACUUCUCCAAUGAGUUAUUUGAAGCCUCUUAAAGAAGCAGAGGGAAUAACUUUAAAACCACGGCCAAAGUAUUGCCAACCCAGCUCCUGAGAACAUUACUAUAAGGACCUGCAAGUGGUGACCUGGUGUGAGGACCACCUUCAGAGGGGUGGGAUAGGGAACAACUCUGUUCUUUUCCUUGCUAACAUCCCCUCUUUCUUUCUUGGACAAUCCCUUUCUCUCCUGAGCCCCUUCAGAAGAAUCCUUCCAAGAUUAAUUAUGUAAAGCUUCAUCCCUCUCCUAGCAAAGGUUAACUCCCAAAGAGUUCUGCCAUAUACCCAGGUCAUGUGACCCCUGUCUUCCAGGAGCCAGGCAGAAAGCGAAGCCAUCAGGGGUCCCUGAAGCAGCAGGAGGGACGCGCCUGUCUUCGAUUUCUCCAGUUACCUAACCAUUGAGGAGCAGCCAGGUCCCACCUUUAAAAGCCGCACUGUGUGGCUCAGAUGACCCAGAAGCAGGAGACAGAACGUUAUCUUGCUGGAAGUGCAUGGUAAUGGAAGCAACCCAGCCAUUCAGUAUUAUCACCAUCCUGGCCCAGCCCACCUCGCUCUGGGCAAAGAUGUAGAAACUUAGUUAAGGGCAUAGAACCUAAAAUGGUGCUUCUGCCUUAGCCUUGGGUCAUUUGGAUCCAGUCCCAAGGGAGCAGAAAGCCUAGAUGUCUGCUGCACAAGCUUCUCCCUUCAGUAGCUGUCCUUUAAAUGCGUAAACUCAGGGGAAACACAGCCAUCCUCCCUGCUAAUGGGUAGCGGCAUGGCCCACAGACACUGGACAUUAUAAUCCCUUAGGGAAGUGCAUAGAUCAGGGCGACUCUAGAAGCAUAUUUUCCAUUAUGCAUGAGCAGUUGUUGCAAAGGGCGGUCAAAAGGACUUAGUCCCCGGUGCUCACUAUUCACAAUUCGCUUCCUGGAACAGCCUCAUUUGGGUGGUUCAUGAGGGAUGGAUAUGUGAAAAAAAAUAAUAUACAGAAAGUAACAUCCAGAACCGGUUUCACUCCUGGAAGGAUCAUCACAGUGACUUGCCUACUUUUGCCCUGGCAUGGAGAGAAAUGAGACAUGGAGGUCUUAAGCCAGAUUGUCCCCCUCACCUUGGAGCGUGGCCUGAUAAAAGGCAAGAUUCCUGGACUGUUUCCCACUUUAUAUAUCUAAUCAUUUAAUUCUUUUUUCCUCCAUUUUGUGAUGUACAAUUUUCACUUGAUUUGGUUUAGGUAUGAGAUGGUUUUUACUUGGCUGUACCCUUUCUUUAUCCUAAUUUCUCCCUUUUAGGGAACCAGGAAUAGCUGGCCAGACACUGUCCAGCAGCAAGCCUCGAAUUUGGGUCCUUAGUUAGACAGUGAUGCCCAUUCUUAGCUGAAAUGCAAGAAGACUCCCGCUGUGGUGAAACCUUGUGGCAUCUCCGUGCUUGUAGGAUAUGUGUGUGUGUAUAUAUGCUGCCACAGUGGUGUGAGCCACACGAUAGACAGUCGGGGACAGGAGGGAAGCAGCAGGAGAGAGAUGUUCCAGUCUCCUUACUAGGCUGUCUUGUGUCUAAGGGGAGGAUAGAUUGUGUGUUAAAAAAUAAAAAUUUUUUUCUUCACUUGAAA